UGGGGGAUAUUGCACAAUGGGGGAAACCCUGAUGCAGCGACGCCGCGUGUAGGAAGACGGUCCUCUGGAUUGUAAACUACUGUCUUCGGGGACGAUAAUGACGGUACCCGAGGAGGAAGCUCCGGCUAACUACGUGCCAGCAGCCGCGGUAAUACGUAGGGAGCGAGCGUUGUCCGGAAUUACUGGGUGUAAAGGGCAUGUAGGCGGAUGCAAAAGUUAGUGGUGAAAUCCCCGGGCUUAACCUGGGAACUGCCAUUAAAACUGAGUAUCUAGAGUAUUGGAGAGGAUGAUGGAAUAUCCAGUGUAGAGGUGAAAUUCGUAGAUAUUGGAUAGAACACCGGUGGCGAAGGCGAUCAUCUGGCCAUUUACUGACGCUGAGAUGCGAAAGCGUGGGGAGCAAACA
rnacentral:rRNA from 1 species